GAUGAACGCUGGCGGCGUGCCUAAUACAUGCAAGUCGAGCGAACAGACGAGGAGCUUGCUCCUCUGACGUUAGCGGCGGACGGGUGAGUAACACGUGGAUAACCUACCUAUAAGACUGGGAUAACUUCGGGAAACCGGAGCUAAUACCGGAUAAUAUAUUGAACCGCAUGGUUCAAUAGUGAAAGACGGUUUUGCUGUCACUUAUAGAUGGGUCCGCGCCGCAUUAGCUAGUUGGUAAGGUAACGGCUUACCAAGGCAACGAUGCGUAGCCGACCUGAGAGGGUGAUCGGCCACACUGGAACUGAGACACGGUCCAGACUCCUACGGGAGGCAGCAGUAGGGAAUCUUCCGCAAUGGGCGAAAGCCUGACCGAGCAACGCCGCGUGAGUGAUGAAGGUCUUCGGAUCGUAAAACUCUGUUAUUAGGGAAGAAAAAAUGUGUAAGUAACUAUGCACGUCUUGACGGUACCUAAUCAGAAAGCCACGGCUAACUACGUG
rnacentral:rRNA from 1 species